rnacentral:sRNA from 1 species
AUCUUCUCCUUCGGGAGAAGGUUAGCGGCGGACGGGUGAGUAACACGUAGGCAACCUGCCCACAAGACCGGGAUAACAUUCGGAAACGAAUGCUAAUACCGGAUACGCGAUUUCCUCGCAUGGGGAGAUCGGGAAAGACGGAGCAAUCUGUCACUUACAGAUGGACCUGCGGCGCAUUAGCUAGUUGGUGGGGUAACGGCUCACCAAGGCGAGGAAGAGUAGCCGACCUGAGAGGGUGAUCGGCCACACUGGGACUUAUCCUCGGCCCAUAGACCUACGGGAGGCAGCAUUCGAUCUUGCAGUUAACUCGANCCUCCGAAGA